UACAGAGGUUUCAAGCGUUGUUCGGAUUCAUUGGGCGUAAAGGGUGCGUAGGCGGCGUGGUAAGUCGGAUGUGAAAUCUCGGAGCUUAACUCCGAAACUGCAUUCGAUACUGCCGUGCUUGAGGACUGGAGAGGAGACUGGAAUUUACGGUGUAGCGGUGAAAUGCGUAGAUAUCGUAAGGAAGACCAGUGGCGAAGGCGGGUCUCUGGACAGUUCCUGACGCUGAGGCACGAAGGCCAGGGGAGCAAACGGG
rnacentral:rRNA from 1 species